rnacentral:lncRNA from 1 species
UAGUUGUUGCAAUUCUAGCUCCUGUAGGCGGCUUCAUUUUGUUCACCAUCAUGAUCCUCAGCAUCUUCUUUAUAUGCAAACGAAGAACACAACGACAGAAUGAGAUGGAAGAAGAAGAAGAGUUUGGGGAGCUACAAGGUACACCAAUGAGGUUCACAUUCCAACAGCUAAAAGCAGCAACCGAGCAAUUCGCAGACAAGCUCGGGGAAGGAGGAUUUGGGUCUGUUUUCAAGGGACAAUUUGGUGAUCAAAGGAUUGCAGUGAAACGUUUGGAUCGAACUGGUCAGGGCAAAAGUGAAUUUUCAGCAGAGGUUCAGACAAUUGGCAGCAUUCAUCAUAUUCAUCUGGUGAGAUUGAUUGGUUUCUGUGCAGAGAAAUCCCAUAGGCUCUUGGUAUAUGAGUACAUGCCCAAAGGAUCCUUGGACAGAUGGAUUUAUUGUCGACAUGACAAUGAUGCCCCUCCUUUAGAUUGGAGCACGCGGUGCAAGAUUAUAACUCACAUAGCUAAGGGCCUCUCUUAUCUUCAUGAGGAGUGCACAAAAAGAAUUGCUCAUUUGGAUGUCAAACCGCAAAAUAUUCUCUUAGAUGACAACUUCGAUGCUAAACUUUCUGAUUUUGGACUAUGCAAGCUCAUCGACAGGGAUAUGAGCCAAGUGGUUACCAGAAUGAGAGGCACACCUGGAUAUUUAGCUCCUGAAUGGUUGACAUCACAGAUCACGGAAAAGGCGGAUAUCUACAGCUUUGGCAUCGUGGUCAUGGAAAUCAUCAGUGGAAGAAAGAACCUUGACACUUCCCGGUCAGAAGAGAGCGUCCAUCUCAUCACCCUAUUGGAGGAAAAGGUGAAGAAUGAUCAGUUGGUAGAUUUGAUUGACAAUAACAGUAACGACAUGCAAGCACACAAGCAAGAUGUAAUUCAGAUGAUGAUGCUUGCAAUGUGGUGCUUGCAGAUUGAUUGCAAAAAAAGGCCUAAAAUGUCCGAAGUCGUCACAGUCCUAGAAGGUGCCAUGGAUGUUGACACCAACAUAGAUUAUAACUUUGUCGCAACAGGUCGAGCUAAUUUUGGUAAUGAUGGAAGUGUGAACUCCUCAGCUCCACCUGUAGGCUCAGAUCUAUCAGGGCCCAGGUGAAAUGAGACCGUCCCGAGAAGAUAUCCAAUUAGAUUGUGAGCAGUAGAUUUUGUUACUUGGAACAAAAGCCCUGAUCUGUAGUAUUUAUUUGCUGAAAUUACUACAAUUUUAAACCCCUAUCUCGGGUUAUUUUUAUCUGCAGAAUAUCUUAAUAUUACAAAUUUUCUGUGAUCUAUACCAUACAUAAACUCAUCUUGUAUUCCUGUAUCCAGUUUUCCUCUAUAAAUGCAUAUCUGCUUCUAGUUAUCACAGUUGAAUUAAUAGCAACGAUCAUAACUAGCAAAACAAGAAAAUGAACAAAAUGAAAGUAAACUCGAUAUUUAAGGGAGUAACUAAUAAGCAUUGAUCAGUUAGUUACCACAAGUGCCUUUAAGUUCUGCACCGAUUGUACUUGGUUUUCAUGACAUAGGCAGUGCCGAACAUUAAAAAUAUGGCUUAAUUUCUACAAGGGGAAAUAUGGUUUAAUUUCCUCAAAAAGGGAAAAUAUGGCUUGAACCUAACUUUGUUGCAAUAGAAAGUAAAAUGCUACAUGUAUUUGGGAUAGCGUUGUAAUUUUGGGUUUUUGCCCUUUCUUGGGCUCGUGCAUAACCUCUUUUUCUAUCAAUACAUCUAGUUGCAAAGCUUUUGGGGUUUUCUCGAAGAUAAAAAUAUGCAAAACAUGCAUUGCCACAAGGCUUUUGCCACCCUAGUCAGCAACAAAUUAAUUUUAUCAGGUUCACCAUUAGCUAGCUUCAUUAGAUCAACCAUUAAAUAUAUUUCUGUACUAUAUAUAAAUCUCUGAUGCUGCAUGAACUAAAAUGUUACCAUUCUUGCGGUAUGAUCUCUUUCGGUAGCCAUUUCGACAUUGUAGGGAGAACCGCAGCAAACUCUAGUUUCAUUCUCAGCGAGAUACGUAGGUCCAUUGGCUGAUAGGAGUAUUGAGAAAUGCUUUGCGUACUGAUCUUGCAGGAGCCAUUUUUGUCAGCGUCCAUCACAUCCAUUCCUUUCAUGCAUCAGAUGCGCUAUCGAGUAAGCUUGAACCUGCAAGAACAGAACUACAAAAAUAACAACAAUUUGGUACUAUAAUUUAAGACAGAAGUACCCAUGAGACCCCAACAUCCUGGCAAGCUACUCGUGAUAAAGACCGAAAUAGAGGAUAGGUUAGUCUUUUUCAGACCCGGGGUACUUGAAGAUCAUCUUGAUCAAGCUGGCGUCUAUUCUCUGGGUAGCAAGGUUAAUGGUGCUAGGUUAGUCCUCCAACUUUCGAAUUCAUGCACUCAGACUAUCUCAGGAGCAAGGGCAAGCAUGUUUAGAAUUAAAACAAAUAACAAAGCUUGCCAAAUACUCGUAUUAUGGGAUAUCUUUCAGUUGUGAUAUAUAUGAGGCGGGGUAAUUCGGUAGGACAAUCUCAGCCACAUAGAUGGUAUAGCCUUGGUCAAGUCUUUGUUUAUUCCAGUAAUCCAGUUCAUUCAAUGGAGCUCUUAAUUAACCUGCUCAUGUGUUAAUGCAAUGCUUACUGCUUAGCAAUUUUAAAAUAAACCAUGGUGGUUUUCCCUUCUUGACAGUGGUACCAGGCUAAAAAAUUAACAAAACUAGAACUACAAUUAAUUUGGAAGAGACAAGGUACAUACGAGUACUCAGAAAUAGAAUUCCAACCAGCUAAUACCAGCUGCUAGAUUCAUUUCUAUCAACGGCACAACCAAAAAAGUCGUGCAACCUAAGAUUCGGCCCUACAAAAUGGGUUAAAAGUAAACAGCUAACAAUUAACAGAGAUGUUCGCAAAGAUCACAAGGUUUUCGCCCACCCUCGUUUGCACACAAACCCACAGAGUUUUGGCGAGUGAGGACGGGUCGACAAGUGAAGGAGGACUCCAGCUGCUUCCAGGCAGCUGCCAAACGCUGCCAACUUCAGCUUGUCCCCAACAACCAGGUACCUAGAUGGUUGCUGACUCAAGAUUCUGGGUCUGACUGUAGCUAAAAAUCAUAACAGCAGAUCAGGAAUGAACAAAUUAAGAUGUGCAAUCUAACGAUUUCACGAAAGGCAAACAUAAAACAAAUUCACAUUCCACAUCAGCUUCAAGAAUUUUGUUAGGCAGAAAAAUUAAUCAAACAACAGAUUAUGCACAUGUACAGAUUCCUUUUUUUUGGAAGACUCGGUACAGGUACAAAUUUGGAAGGGACUAAACAAGCAAACAAGCAAACAAGCACCGCAAGCAAGUCUGGUCCUAUCAAACAGUCAUCACUACAGAGCGUGUUAGGCUGUUUUUAUGCUGACCGUUGAAUGAUUCAACACACAGAUGCAGUCCCUGUCGGCAAUCCCCUAUCAUUCUUCCAUGCUGUUAGCUGUCACAGGAGCCCUGUUGCAAGUUUGCAACUCAAACUCUGAUUCAAGUUAACGGUGCAAGAAAAAAAUCAUAACACAAAUGGCAGUGGCGAGUACCUCUCCGGCUCUCUCUCUCCCGCCUCUCCUUCUCGUCCUCCUACUCCUCGCUGCCACCAGCGAGGCCACCAAAUUUAGUGUCAUCAACCGAUGCUCCUACACCGUGUGGCCAGCCGCUGUUCCGGUUGGUGGUGGCGUGAAGCUCGAUCCGGGGGAGACGUGGGAGAUGGACGUUCCCGCUGGCACCAUGGGCGGGCGCAUCUGGGCACGCACAGACUGCUCAUUCCAGGGCGAAGGCAACGGGUCGUGCCAAACUGGCGACUGCGGCGGCUUGCUUGCCUGUAAGGGCAAUGGUCAGCCGCCCAACACGCUGGGCGAGUUCACGCUUGGCCAAAACCAAACGAACGACUUCUUCGACAUCUCCCUCCUCGACGGCUUCAACGUGCCCAUGGAGUUACUGCCGGUGCAGGUUCAGGGAAGGUCAGGGUGCGGCAAGGGGCUGCGCUGCGCAGCCAACAUCACAUCACAGUGCCCGGGCGACCUGAAGGCUCCGGGGGGUUGUAACAAUGCGUGCACAGUGUUCAAGCAGGACAUGUACUGCUUUAAUGGAAGCAAGACAAGCAACCCCACAAAUUACUCGAAAUUCUUUAAAUGGAUGUGCCCAGAUGCCUACAGCUACCCUGACGAUGGUUUCACCAGAACUUUCAAUUGCCCGUCAGGUACCAACUACCAGGUCAUCUUUUGUCCCCUUUUUAAUCAAGCACUAUCGCCGACCCAGGUAACACCUCCGACACCAAGUACUCUGCCUGCAGCUACCGGGCCAACAAGCAUGAAACCGAAAUCCUCUGCUACAAGAAGAAUUGUUGCAAUUCUAGCUCCUGUAGGCGGCUUCAUUUUGCUCACCAUCGUGUUCCUCAUCAUCUUCUUUAUAUGUAAACGAAGAACACAACGACAACAUGGGAUGGAAGAAGAGGAAGAGUUUGGGGAGCUACAAGGAACACCAAUGAGGUUCACAUUUCAACAGCUAAAAGCAGCAACCGAGCAAUUCACAGACAAGCUUGGGGAAGGAGGAUUUGGGUCUGUUUUCAAGGGACAAUUUGGUGAUCAAAGGAUUGCAGUGAAACGUUUGGAUCGAACUGGUCAGGGCAAAAGUGAAUUUUCGGCAGAGGUUCAGACAAUUGGCAGCAUUCAUCAUAUUCAUCUGGUGAGAUUGAUUGGUUUCUGUGCAGAGAAAUCCCAUAGGCUCUUGGUAUAUGAGUACAUGCCCAAAGGAUCCUUGGACAGAUGGAUUUAUUGUCGACAUGACAAUGAUGCCCCUCCUUUAGAUUGGAGCACGCGGUGCAAGAUUAUAACUCACAUAGCUAAGGGCCUCUCUUAUCUUCAUGAGGAGUGCACAAAAAGAAUUGCUCAUUUGGAUGUCAAACCGCAAAAUAUUCUCUUAGAUGACAACUUUGAUGCUAAACUUUCUGAUUUUGGACUAUGCAAGCUCAUCGACAGGGAUAUGAGCCAAGUGGUUACCAGAAUGAGAGGCACACCUGGAUAUUUAGCUCCUGAAUGGUUGACAUCACAGAUCACGGAAAAGGCGGAUAUCUACAGCUUUGGCAUCGUGGUCAUGGAAAUCAUCAGUGGAAGAAAGAACCUUGACACUUCCCGGUCAGAAGAGAGCGUCCAUCUCAUCACCCUAUUGGAGGAAAAGGUGAAGAAUGAUCAGUUGGUAGAUUUG